rnacentral:rRNA from 1 species
AAAUUUUAAUGUAAAUUUAAAUAUUAAUCUGUAGAGGUACAGCUCUACAGAACAAGACUACAACCUUAAUUAGAGAGUAAAUUUUAUAACAACCAUAGUUGGCUUAAAAGCAGCCACCAAUUAAGAAAGCGUUCAAGCUCGACAAUUAAAUCAAUACUUAAUUCAAAAAAUUAUAUUAACCCCUAACUUGAUUACUGGAUUAUUCUACUAAAUGUAGAAGAAAUACUGUUAAUAUGAGUAAUAAGAUCUUAGAUCUCCAAACACACGUGUAUAUCAGCCCGAAUACCUACUGAUAUUUAACAAUUAAAUAAAUCUAUACACAAAUAAAUGAUUUUUUAUUAUAUUGUUAACCCAACACCGGAGUGUAUAUUAAGGAAAGAUUAAAAAAAGUAAAAGGAACUCGGCAAACAUUAACCCCGCCUGUUUACCAAAAACAUCACCUCUAGCAUUAUCAGUAUUAGAGGCACUGCCUGCCCAGUGACAUUAGUUAAACGGCCGCGGUAUCCUGACCGUGCAAAGGUAGCAUAAUCAUUUGUUCCUUAAUUAGGGACUUGUAUGAAUGGCCUCACGAGGGUUUAACUGUCUCUUACUUUUAAUCAGUGAAAUUGACCUUCCCGUGAAGAGGCGGGAAUACUAAAAUAAGACGAGAAGACCCUAUGGAGCUUAAAUUAAAUUAUCCAACAAACCUAACUUAAAUCCAACAGGAAUAAUUAAACUUUAACUGGAUAAUAAAUUUUGGUUGGGGUGACCUCGGAGCAUAACUUAACCUCCGAGCAGUUAAAACUCAGACUUACCCGUCAAAGUGGAACUAUUAAUUGAUCCAAUCUUAUUGAUCAACGGAACAAGUUACCCUAGGGAUAACAGCGCAAUCCUAUUUAAGAGUCCAUAUCGACAAUAGGGUUUACGACCUCGAUGUUGGAUCAGGACAUCCUAAUGGUGCAGCAGCUAUUAAAGGUUCGUUU